UGUGCCCUCUAAUGGCCUGGUGCGAAAUACCAGACCUACAACAGAGGAAAGAUGUGAGGACGCGGGUCAGAUAUGAACAGGCCAGUCUCAGAAGACCUCCGGCUCAUGAGGUUGUGGGAAUCUGAAGAUCAAAAUCCUUUGUCGGGACAUCUGUUCAUCAGAAUAAGGCAUUGUUGAUAAAAGAACAAUACUCUUAUUCUUCCACAAGGGGGCUUGCUCAAUCAAGACUUCAUACAGCUGAAACCCUCAGGAAUUGCAUGAAAAAGAGCAACCAACACCAUUUUCACAGUCUCUCCUCUUUAUUCCAUUGAAAAAAGGUCACACAGGUCUGAAACGUAAUUAAGGAAGUCUAAAGGAAUCCACAGAGAACCGACGAUGCUCCAUGGAGAUGAAGCUUCAUGUUCAGAAUGGACUGAAGUAGCAACGUCUUAAAGAAUCCUUUAUAUUCAAAUGGGAGUCGAGAAAAAUGGCACAUUACCCAAAUGGCUGGAUGUAGCAAAGGAACCCUGGGAAAAUCUAUAAAAGGGUUGCAUGUUUACAAUAGGCCCGUAUAUUUCUGACUGUGCCCUUUCUAAUGCCCCUUUUUAAUUACUGUGAGAUUAAACGUUGCCUGUAAACCCCUCUCAAUCAAUCAAAGUGGGCCCCGAGGUCCUGAAAGUCAUUGGAAUAGCAGUCUGCACAUGGAGAUAUGUGAAUUAUAAUCAACAAGCUGUGGAACUGAGGUCUCGUGAAGGUCCUUACUAAACAAGCUCUUUAAUGAACAACAGUAGCGGUGGAUGUGUGGAUGUGUGGAUGCAAGUGUACGUAUCACAACCGAACUCCUUAGAUGAAAUUAGCUGAGUAAUGAUCAAUAUCUAAUAUUAUACCCCAGGCUUGAUAUAGUAACCCAUGGUCACCUUCCAAGCUUCUUUCUAUCAGCCACCCUAUCAUUAACAAUUCAGGUCGCGUUUACUCCAGACAUGUAUCAAUUGAGUAUUUCCUCCAUAGCUGCAUUGUUGCUUAGCUACAAUAAAACAAACAUCCUCACGGCUUAUUGAAUGUGUGUAGUGACAGGUGUCAGCUGCUGAGAUGUAGUUAGGAUGUUUUAUUAAUGUUUCUGUUAUUAUUGAUACAUGAAACAUAUGUUUAAAGGAAUUGUUCACCCAGGAAAUUAAUGUUCUGUUUUGUUUAUAUCCUUCCAAUCCUGCGUGAGGGCUUUUGUAAAUUAAUC